CAAAUUUUCGAGAAACAACAAAUAGCGCCAUGGGUUUUCAUUUUGGCGAAAACAUUUUCAAAACCCCUCUUUCCUAUAUCGACACAAUCUCCCAUUUCCCAUUUCUUCAUCCCCAUUUCACUAACCCUAAUCUUGCUCCUCUUUCUUCAUAUUCGUUUCCACUUUUCCAUUCUAUCGAAGAUGCAGACUCGCGGUUCAAGAAAGAGGGCAAUCGCUGAACCAAUUGUUCUCAACCCUAAAAAGCAUAGAGUUGUGCUGGGGGGAUCUUCCCAAUCUACAUAAUGCAUCUGUUUCUUAGAUGGAGAAAAAGACAAGACUUAUGGUUGGAUACAUUGAGAAUGGUCAGAGAUUCAUUACAACAAACACGAGGGGAAUAUUGGUGGAUUGGUUAGUCAAAGUUGUGGAAGAGUACCAGCUUCUUCCUCAAACGCUCAUUCUUGUUGUUUCUUACAUUGAUAGUGUUGGUGUCAUUUGAAUUGUGUUUGCAUAAAAAGUUAAAGGUGAUGUGCACCGAAUACCGACAGGAGAAGAAAGAACUAAUUGAAACAUAAUAUAAGGAUAGAAAACUGUCUAAUCUUCCUAAGAUAACCCAGCCUGCACUAAUAAUUUGGGGAGAACAGGACCAGGUAUUCCCACUGGAAUUAGCACACAUACUGAAAAAGCAUCUGGGAGAGAAUGCACAACUAGUUGUUGUUAAGAAUGCAGGGUGUGCAAUCAAUAUGGAGAAACCCAAGAAACUGUAUAAGAUUUUAAAAUCCUUCCUCAUCAAUUUAACUUUCCUCAGGAGGAUGUACAAGAAACCAAUAGACUACGCAGAAGAAACCACAAUUGGAAUGGUCGAUUUGAUACUCGUUAACAGCAAAUUCACUGCAUCUACUUUGGUUGUUCCCUUCCCUCUUUUGGGUGUUGUAAUCAAUAUUUUGGAGCCUUAUUUAUGAAUGAAGUCCCUGGUGAAGAUAUGUGAAAUUUUUGGUGUAAUUUAGAAUUUUGUUGUUGCUACUAAAAUCUGAUAUACUUGGUUUCAAAUUUUGUUGGUACAAUGAAGUUUAAUGUUCUGAUAGAAUUGUUUCUGCUUUUUCCUUUGCAGAAUUAGUUAUAAUGAAGAAGACAUUAUUGUGGUAAAGCUGCAACUGAACUUUUGGUGUUUGAAAUUGCCAUGCUUCUAUGUUAACAAGUGGAAACCACAAAGCUAUUGACAACAUAUAGACAAAGGUGCAUGAAGACAGAAAGAUGCAUUAUUGAAAAAUGUCAUUACUGGAUAUCUUCUAGCUGGCUCCAUUGUUGGACCUGGAGGCUUUAACUUCAUCAAUCUAAUGGUGCAGGUAUCUGGAUACAACCAUGAAUUGCUUUUGUAAUCUUUUAUUCUUUUAUCAAAAAAAAAUUGCUGCUUUCUUUUUGGUGUAGUUUUAGAGUUAAACUCAGUCGGAUUUCAUUUUUUGUAAUCUUUUUUUACUCUAUAAUGAAAUCUAACACUUGGCUGCUGAUUCCGUCAGGGAGAUUUCUGGGUUGCUGGAAUGUCAAAACGAUUAUUUACUAAUUCUUAUAAUGAUUUUCUAAUUGCCAGCCCCAAUGAUAUUGCUUACGUCUUCUCUGAUAUGCACCUCUUAGCAUUCGUCUUGUCCAGCAAGCCAUUCGAUCUGGAUGGUAAUGAUAGAUUUUUAACCCUGGAGAUCUUCCUAGUUUUUGUUGUGCAUGAUAUUCAACUUAAAUGAUUUUCUGCUAUAAAUCUUUGGCAGCAAUGAAUCAUUCACAAUUUACAAUGUUAAACAACAUCCUGCACUUUCAAUUUUAUAACGAACUGUAGCUCAUGGAACUAUAAAUUUUGCUAAUUGAUUUGCUGCUAGAAGUCCUAAGCAGAAAUGAAUCAGUUUACAGUUUAAAAAGUUUCAAUGUUAAACAUCCUGCAGUUUCAAUCAUAGUAUGAAAUCAGUUCUUUGGUGCAAAUGUUCAAAUAAUCAUAUCUUAAUAUCUGAUACUGAUUUGUGUAUAUUUUACAAGCUUUGAAUUUGGUAUGUUGACAGCGAAUUCCAAUGUUUACUUGAUGUGUAUCAUUGUUGCUCAGCUACGCAGCUCAUCAAGAUAUCGAAGCCUGUCGAUUUAUUUUUCAUAAAAAGGAAUUUUUGUAAAGGAUGAAAAAAAGCAUAUAGUGAUAUAAGAUAACACAUCUUCACAAGAAAACGCAUAAGAAAAACACAGAAAUUAAGACCGAGAGUCCUGCAACAAGGCAUGCCAAAACCUCUCUGCAUGGCUGUAUGUUUUCCAAAUUCGUUCUCAUAAGCUUCUAGUUUUGUGGAUGAUUUCUUGAUACAUCUAGAAUACAUGGAACUCAUACAAGGGUCUCAAAAAUGAUGAAGGAUAGAAAGGUGGUGACAAACCUAGGCAACCCCAGAUACUAAACUAAGAUUAGGAACUUGGAACAACAAAACUCUUGAAUGAAGCUGAUUCAAGGAUUCAUAAUUACACUAGUUGCUCCAGAUUAUUAUAGUCCUGUUUUCUUUCUUCUCUGGAUCACUAUUAGUUUCCUUGUUUUCAUCGCCUAAUUCUUGAUUUGUCUCGCGGGAAAGCAUGACAUAUGAUUUGGUUAUUGCAUCAACAAAAAUAGUCAAUGGCCAAACCUUGCUUGAAACAUUCAUGGAAAAACUAGGUUGAUUAAUUCUUGAGUUUUUUUUUCUUGGUCCAGCGGGACAAGUUAAUGUGAUGAUGCUAUUUCCGAUCAUAUAUAACUAUCUCCGAUCAUGUAUUCCAUCAAGUUAGACUGAAAUUCAUAAGCUGCUUGUAUG